rnacentral:tRNA from 1 species
GCCCCCAUCGUCCAGCGGCCCAGGACGCCGGCCUUUCACGCCGGUAACACGGGUUCGAAUCCCGUUGGGGGUG